rnacentral:rRNA from 1 species
UACGAAGGGGGCUAGCGUUGCUCGGAAUUACUGGGCGUAAAGCGCACGUAGGCGGUUUCUUAAGUCGGUGGUGAAAUCCUGGAGCUCAACUCCAGAACUGCCUUCGAUACUGGGAAACUUGAGUUCGGGAGAGGUGAGUGGAACUGCGAGUGUAGGGGUGAAAUUCGUAGAUAUUCGCAAGAACACCAGUGGCGAAGGCGGCUCACUGGCCCGAUACUGACGCUGAGGUGCGAAAGCGUGGGGAGCAAACAGG